CGAACGCUGGCGGCGUGCCUAAUACAUGCAAGUCGAACGCACUCUCGUUUAGAUUGAAGGAGCUUGCUCCGUGAUUGAUAAACAUUUGAGUGAGUGGCGGACGGGUGAGUAACACGUGGGUAACCUGCCCUAAAGUGGGGGAUAACAUUUGGAAACAGAUACUAAUACCGCAUAAAACCUAACACCGCAUGGUGUAGGGUUGAAAGAUGGUUUCGGCUAUCACUUUAGGAUGGACCCGCGGUGUAUUAGCUAGUUGGUGAGGUAAAGGCUCACCAAGACCGUGAUGCAUAGCCGACCUGAGAGGGUAAUCGGCCACACUGGGACUGAGACACGGCCCAGACUCCUACGGGAGGCAGCAGUAGGGAAUCUUCCACAAUGGACGAAAGUCUGAUGGAGCAACGCCGCGCGAGUGAAGAAGGUUUUCGGAUCGUAAAACUCUGUUGUUGGAGAAGAAUGUAUCUGAUAGUAACUGAUCAGGUAGUGACGGUAUCCAACCAGAAAGCCACGGCUAACUACGUG
rnacentral:rRNA from 1 species